UGGGGAAUAUUGGGCAAUGGGCGCAAGCCUGACCCAGCAACGCCGCGUGAAGGAAGAAGGCCCUCGGGUUGUAAACUUCUUUUAACAGGGACGAAGAAAGUGACGGUACCUGUUGAAUAAGCCACGGCUAACUACGUGCCAGCAGCCGCGGUAAUACGUAGGUGGCAAGCGUUAUCCGGAUUUACUGGGUGUAAAGGGCGUGUAGGCGGGACUGCAAGUCAGAUGUGAAAACCAUGGGCUCAACCCAUGGCCUGCAUUUGAAACUGUAGUUCUUGAGUGUUGGAGAGGCAGGCGGAAUUCCGUGUGUAGCGGUGAAAUGCGUAGAUAUACGGAGGAACACCAGUGGCGAAGGCGGCCUGCUGGACAAUAACUGACGCUGAGGCGCGAAAGCGUGGGGAGCAAACAGGAUUAGAUACCC
rnacentral:rRNA from 1 species